CACUCUCUUAGCUGAGUAUGUGUAUGGUGUAACUUUAAUUUAAUGUAUUGUUGGCGAAUUUUGAAUUUCAUGAGCUUUCACCGUAGUAAAGGAAUAGUUAAAUAUGUUUAUUACCUAUUACUAUGAGAAUUAUUAUCAUAAAAUUUCUUAUCGCAGAAAUGGCAUCGAACAUCGAUAUACAUAUGAAAGCCUAUUCGUUUACAGAUCUGAUAAUACGUUGCUAGAAGCCUAUCUUAAAUUCGUUUUCGCCGCAUAAAUAUUGUUUAGAAAACCUAAAAGUAAAAC